UGUCCUUUGGCUUUACAACAACAACAGAAAAGAAGAUUACCAGAAACAGUGUCAGCACGCUGAAGAAAGACUGAGGGUGACCGAGGUUAGCUCGGGGUUGUUUUGAAGCAAGCAGCAGAGGAUGGUAAGCCACGGUGGAGCCAGAGCGACAGAGGACUGAGGUGCAGCCGAGGGGAUGAAGUAACCGGAUGAAGCCUGACGGAACCAGAGGGACGAUGCGAACCCAGAGGAGAUGAGUCCUGAGGCUUAGGAUGGUCAACUCCAGACCAAGGUGGAGCCAGAGGGACGAGGGAGCCAGGCGGAGAUUGUGGACUGCCGGGCCACGGUGGAGAGGAGGGAGCUAGGAGCCAUGGUGGAGCAGACGGUCAACGCGCCGAGGGCGGAGUCCAGGCCUCAGUGGCUGAAGGUGGAGGUGAGGGAGACUCCGGCCACACUAGAGGAUGGCAGUCCCGUGUAGCUUGCACCGAAACUUUUAACAAAGUUUAGCAAAGUAAACUUGCAAAAAAAAAAAAAAAAAUGUAUUUAAGUUUCUGUAUGCAUGAAUUGCAUUUUAAAAUUAAUUAAUAGAGCUGACCAAAAAUUAGCACAAUGUCAUUGACCCUUAAUUCACACUCUUUAUUUGCCUCUGAAGAAUGGGUCACUGUAAACAGCACGGUUGAUACAGUAGCAAUAACUCAAUGUUGCAAGAGUUAACAAUGAACUCAUUGACCAAAGCAUGUACUGUACAAAAAGAGAGCAUAGCUGGCUAGCUGCAGCUCGUACAGGGUUAUUUAUUAAAGAAAUGUUCAAGAAUCUCCAA